UACGUAGGGUGCAAGCGUUAAUCGGAAUUACUGGGCGUAAAGCGUGCGCAGGCGGUCCGUUAAGACAGAUGUGAAAUCCCCGGGCUUAACCUGGGAACUGCAUUUGUGACUGGCGAGCUAGAGUAUGGCAGAGGGGGGGUAGAAUUCCACGUGUAGCAGUGAAAUGCGUAGAGAUGUGGAGGAAUACCGAUGGCGAAGGCAGCCCCCUGGGCCAAUACUGACGCUCAUG
rnacentral:rRNA from 1 species